CACGAGCAAACAUCGUCACUCUCCAAAAAAUGCACUGUAAUUCAUUGUUUCACUUUGCAUCACGCCAUACCAAAAUACAAAUCAAAUAUACAUCCUUAAAUGUGCCAAGUGUUAUUAUACAACAUAUUGAUACAUUUUGUUAUGAGAAAUACUCGUUACAUCCAUACUUCUCGCAUGUACAGCCAUCUACCGGGAAAAUAAACAGUGCUAGUGUUCUCUUGCUUGUUUCGGAAGUGAAGUUCGUUUACAGUGCUACUUGUGUUUCCGAUUUUCCCCCUAAUAUUCUGAUGAAAACGUACUCUUAUUCAGAUUUUUUUCUUUCUUUUUUUUUGUGAUCUAAAUUCAGUGAAGUGCAAUGCCCGUGUUGCAGCUGCAGAAGUCCGUCAGAGAUUCGUCACCUUCCCAACUUCUCUUCCCUUCCUAAGGUGAGUCCCGUCGAGCAGACCAGGUGCCAGCGACGCGGCUUGAGGAAAAUCAGAGUGAAAGUCAACCCGUCUUGGCAAGCCGGUAUACAAUAAACACCCACAGAAGGCUUGCAUCACCAACUCUCCUUCUCUCGACACGCAUCUUUGGGAGAGUAUAAAAUGAACUCUACAUUAGUGAAGUGUUCUUUUGAUUAAGACCCCGCGCCUUGUUUUUUAUUUUCUUAUUUGAACGUUUUAUUCUGGAGAAUUUAUUUAUCGCAUUAUCUCACGAGAGUGCUAAAGGGCCAGAAUGCGAAGAACUUGCUUUGUGUUCACUGUGUAUAAAAUAAUCUCUUCAUCA
rnacentral:lncRNA from 1 species